CGUCCCCCGCGCGCUCUGCCCAUUGGCUCCUGCCGCGCAGAUGGGCGGGGCGAGCGCCGCGGGACCCCGCCAGCGCCUCCCAAUGGCUAGGAAGUCGCUCGAGGGGUGGGGCCACAAACAGUGGCAGGCGGCCAUUGGGGAAGAUGGCCGUCCGUCAGGGCUCGAGGCGGAAACGGCCCGUGGAGUCGGGGGAGGGGCGAAGAGGUGAGGCCACGUGAUUGCGCCAGAGCCAGUGAGCGAGCUGCCCUCCUGCGUGGGGCUUUGCUGGAGAAGCCAUCUUAGGAGUGGAGCAGCGAAGCCCGACCACGGUUUCCUCGCCUGACUGCAGGAAUGGGAAAAUUGAAGCCCGGGGGGGGCACGGCGGACGCCGCCCUGCCUGCCUGCAAUGGAAGGAAAAUGAGGCCGGGGGCGCACGGACAACACCGCCGUGCCUGCCUGCAAUGGGGGGGAACUGAGGCUCGGGGCGCACAGAGCAGACUCCGCCGUCAAAGGACGUUCAGGACUGGACGGGCCUCCAUCCCACCAGCAGAACACUCCAAACUUAUGUCGGAGAAUGCUGAUUCCAAAAAGAGUUGAACAGGGUUGUGGGUGAUAGGGGAACCCCGGGAAAGGUGCCGGAAAACAGGGCCAGCUGGGUGGGGCGAGUGGGGGGAGGGGCAGGCGGAGUCAGGGCGGCCGCGGCAGUCCGGUACCCCAGGCUUUUGGAAGCAUCCAGGAGAUGAUGGGCAUGCCGGGCUUGCUUGUUCCCAGCGUGGAGCAGACGUUCAAUAAAUAGAAGAAAUUAUCCUGAAUAUUGUUUGCUAUACGUCUCGUGCAGAAAAAAGGAUUUUUAAUUGGCACAAGCCUAAAGAGGGAGAAUGACACUUGUUGUUUCCGUAAGUCGAGGUCAGGCCUUUGCUCCCGCCUCUCCGGUCGGUUUUAGCUUGGGCGGAGUCAUGGCAACAGCGUCCAUUUUAGGGCCGCGCGGGCCUGGACGGAGCCCAGAGACCGGGGCUGCCGAGCCAGAGGGCUUUCUCGGAUUAGGGGCGGCUGCCGAUUUUCACGGAGGCCUCCGCCUUGCACUCCUUGGCCCCUUCUUUCGCCGAAGGCCAUCUGAAGCCCAGGAAUGGCUAAUCAGGAGUGUCCCGGUGGAUUUAGGAGAAUCCCCAACGCAUUCCUGUGGAUUUGCUCCCUCCAGGACUCCUGUCGCGCUCCGCUCUGGGUACCACCAGGGGCAGUUGCUCAUCUUUGUUGCCUAGGUUACUGGUGCCAGGGAUGGGCCCUCUUGACAGCAGGGAGGAUGGUUGGAGACAUGGGAGUGUCGCAGCCCAGAGGGAGAAUGUUGGUGGACCCUCCACCAGGUUCCUAGCACGGAUCUAAAUGGUCGCAAUCUAUUAAAAGCCAUUUCUGCUCACUGCC